rnacentral:tRNA from 1 species
GGCCCCGUAGCUCAGUGGCAGAGCACCCGCCUUUUAAGCGGAGUGUCGUAGGUUCGAAUCUUACCGGGGUCA